rnacentral:rRNA from 1 species
AUUGAACGCUGGCGGCAUGCCUUACACAUGCAAGUCGAACGGUAACAGGUUAAGCUGACGAGUGGCGAACGGGUGAGUAAUACAUCGGAACGUGCCCAGACGUGGAGGAUAGCUCGGCGAAAGCCGGAUUAAUACCGCAUAAGCUCUGAGGAGGAAAGCGGGGGACCGUAAGGCCUCGCGCGUUUGGAGCGGCCGAUGGCAGAUUAGGCAGUUGGUGGGGUAAAGGCUUACCAAGCCUACGAUCUGUAGCUGGUCUGAGAGGACGACCAGCCACACUGGGACUGAGACACGGCCCAGACUCCUACGGGAGGCAGCAGUGGGGAAUUUUGGACAAUGGGCGCAAGCCUGAUCCAGCAAUGCCGCGUGCAGGAUGAAGGCCUUCGGGUUGUAAACUGCUUUUGUACGGAACGAAAAGGCGCCUACUAAUACUGGGUGUUGAUGACGGUACCGUAAGAAUAAGCACCGGCUAACUACGUGCCAGCAGCCGCCGUAAAAC